rnacentral:rRNA from 1 species
AUUGAACGCUGGCGGCAGGCCUAACACAUGCAAGUCGAGCGGAUGAAGAGAGCUUGCUCUCUGAUUCAGCGGCGGACGGGUGAGUAAUGCCUAGGAAUCUGCCUGGUAGUGGGGGACAACGUUUCGAAAGGAACGCUAAUACCGCAUACGUCCUACGGGAGAAAGCAGGGGACCUUCGGGCCUUGCGCUAUCAGAUGAGCCUAGGUCGGAUUAGCUAGUAGGUGGGGUAAAGGCUCACCUAGGCGACGAUCUGUAACUGGUCUGAGAGGAUGAUCAGUCACACUGGAACUGAGACACGGUCCAGACUCCUACGGGAGGCAGCAAUGGGGAAUAUUGGACAAUGGGCGAAAGCCUGAUCCAGCCAUGCCGCGUGUGUGAAGAAGGUCUUCGGAUUGUAAAGCACUUUAAGUUGGGAGGAAGGGCAGUAAGCUAAUACCUUGCUGUUUUGACGUUACCAACAGAAUAAGCACCGGCUAACUUCGUGCCAGCCGCCGCAGUAAAAC